AAGGAUCACACAAGUCAUCCGGAAUCAGUGGAUCCACCAACUGGAAAGGUUAUCUGAGUUUCAACUUUGGUUUAGGAUGAUUUUUUUUUCGAGAAGAUCUGUUGGUGGUGGAUAAUGGAACGCUUGUUUGAUAUAGCUUACAACCAAGUGCGUCAAUUUAUUCCAUCAGCGUCCGGAUCUUAAUGCUGCUGAUGCUAUAUACAAAAAUAAGCUAUGGACGUUAAUAACAAGAAAAGAAAGACAACUUUAUAAAAAUGUGAUGUGGUAUAAAUGAUAGAAAUCUACAAAUAUAUAGUACAGGUUUCCUGGAUAUCUCUGGGCGCUGAUCAUGCUUCCUGUAUCAUGGCGAAACGAAGGAAAUGUGUUGCAUGUAAAAUGUAAAAUGAGCAGCUAUCGGAAAGAAGGAUUGUACACGACCUGGUGUGCAAAAGAAUGCAUUUCGUUUGCGGCAUCGGAGUCCUGUUGCAUGCUGGCAACAAACCGUUAUUUUAAGUACCUAAGAGAAGAUGCUGCUAUUGAAAGCUGUAUAUGAAUAAGUUUCGGUUGUUUUUAAAAUCGUACACGUGUUUGUGACAUCACGUUCAGGAUGAGAAAUAAAAUUUAUUUUCCAAAUUUGA